rnacentral:rRNA from 1 species
GUGAGGAAUUUUCCGCAAUGGGCGAAAGCCUGACGGAGCAAUGCCGCGUGAAGGAUGAAGGCCUAUGGGUUGUAAACUUCUUUUCUCAGAAAAGAAUUAUGACGGUAUCUGAGGAAUAAGCAUCGACUAACUCUGUGCCAGCAGCCGCGGUAAGACAGAGGAUGCAAGCGUUAUCCGGAAUGAUUGGGCGUAAAGCGUCUGUAGGUUGUUUAAAAAGUAUUCUGUCAAAGAUUAGGGCUUAACCCUAGAUAGGCAGAAUAAACUUUUAAGCUAGAGUUUGGUAGAGGCAGAGGGAAUUCCCGGUGGAGCGGUGAAAUGCGUAGAUAUCGGGAGGAACACCAAAGGCGAAGGCACUCUGCUGGGCCAAUACUAACACUGAGAGACGAAAGCGAGGGGAGCAAAUGGGAUUAGAAACCCCGGUAGUCC